UUCUGGUUGAUCCUGCCGGACCUGACUGCUAUCGGAUUGAUACUAAGCCAUGCGAGUCAUUGUAGCAAUACAAGGCAUACGGCUCAGUAACGCGUAGUCAACCUAACCUAUGGACGGGAAUAACCUCGGGAAACUGAGAAUAAUGCCCGAUAGAACAUUAUGCCUGGAAUGGUUUAUGUUCCAAAUGAUUUAUCGCCGUAGGAUGGGACUGCGGCCUAUCAGUUUGUUGGUGAGGUAAUGGCCCACCAAGACUAUUACAGGUACGGGCUCUGAGAGGAGUAGCCCGGAGAUGGGUACUGAGACACGGACCCAGGCCCUAUGGGGCGCAGCAGGCGAGAAAACUUUGCAAUGUGCGAAAGCACGACAAGGUUAAUCCGAGUGGUUUCUGCUAAAGAAACCUUUUGUCAGUCCUAGAAACACUGAUGAAUAAGGGGUGGGCAAGUUCUGGUGUCAGCCGCCGCGGUAAAACCAGCACCUCAAGUGGUCAGGAUGAUUAUUGGGCCUAAAGCAUCCGUAGCCGGCUCUGUAAGUUUUCGGUUAAAUCUGUACGCUCAACGUACAGGCUGCCGGGAAUACUGCAGAGCUAGGGAGUGGGAGAGGUAGACGGUACUCGGUAGGAAGGGGUAAAAUCCUUUGAUCUAUUGAUGACCACCUGUGGCGAAGGCGGUCUACCAGAACACGUCCGACGGUGAGGGAUGAAAGCUGGGGGAGCAAACCGGAUUAGAUACCCGGGUAGUCCCAGCUGUAAACUAUGCAAACUCAGUG
rnacentral:rRNA from 1 species